GAUGAAGAACGCAGCGAAAUGCGAUAAGUAAUGUGAAUUGCAGAAUUCAGUGAAUCAUCGAAUCUUUGAACGCACAUUGCGCCCGCCAGUAUUCUGGCGGGCAUGCCUGUUCGAGCGUCAUUUCAACCAUCAAGCCCCAGGCUUGUGUUGGAGCCCUGCGGCUGCUGCAGCCUCCCAAAACCAGUGGCGGGCUCGCUAUCACACCGAGUGCAGUAGUUUACUCUUCGCUCAGGGCGUGUGGCGGGUGCUAGCCGUAAAACCCCCAACUUCUCAAGGUUGACCUCGGAUCAGGUAGGAAUACCCGCUGAACUUAAGCAUAUCAAUAAGCGGAGGA
rnacentral:misc_RNA from 1 species